GACGAACGCUGGCGGCGUGCUUAACACAUGCCAGUCGAACGCUGAAGCUUGGUGCUUGCACUGGGUGGAUGAGUGGCGAACGGGUGAGUAAUACGUGAGUAACCUGCCCUUGACUCUGGGAUAAGCCUGGGAAACUGGGUCUAAUACUGGAUACGACAUGUCACCGCAUGGUGGUGUGUGGAAAGGGUUUUACUGGUUUUGGAUGGGCUCACGGCCUAUCAGCUUGUUGGUGGGGUAAUGGCUCACCAAGGCGACGACGGGUAGCCGGCCUGAGAGGGUGACCGGCCACACUGGGACUGAGACACGGCCCAGACUCCUACGGGAGGCAGCAGUGGGGAAUAUUGCACAAUGGGCGGAAGCCUGAUGCAGCGACGCCGCGUGAGGGAUGACGGCCUUCGGGUUGUAAACCUCUUUCAGCACGGAGGAAGCGAAAGUGACGGUACGUGCAGAAGAAGCGCCGGCUAACUACGUG
rnacentral:rRNA from 1 species